UGUCAGUGAUGACAAAUUGAAAGGCCUGUUUCUCAAAAACAUUCGCAGGCGCCUGAUUUGAGAUCUCGCCUUCGCCGGGCUUGAGAACUCAUGAUGCUUCGAUCCUUCCUUGGAUGUCUGAGACA